CUCUGACCGUCAAAUUUGAAGAUAGCUUUCUCUCCUCUUCUUUCCACUCCCCUCUCAUUUCAAGGUAGAUCUGGCCGCAGCAAGGUGCAGCGGCCACUAGCCGUGGCUGCGAGCCUAGGCGCAACCUUGGGUGCCGGCUCAGGCUAGCCGUGAGGAGGCUGGUUGCCGCACCCUUGGGGCCGGCUGCCAGGAGGUUGGUUGCUACACCCUCGAGGCUGGCCGCUAGACCUCGAGGCCAACUGGCAGGAAGCUGAGGCUCACUGGUCGCUGAGGCUAGCCAGCCAUUGAAGCUAUAUUUUGAAUUGAAUCUUAUUUUAUGUGAAACCUUCAUCUCUUUUCCCAUAGUUAUGAGUAGUCUGAUCCUCAUGUGAUGUUCCAAACACCUCUUCCUUAGGUGCCGGUUCAAGCUGGCCACAAGGAAGCUGGUCGCCGCACCCUCUAGGCUGGCCACGAGGCUGGCUGCCAGACCUCGAGGCCAGCUGGCCGGCCGCUGAGGCUUGCCGGUCGCUGAUACUGGCUGCUGGCCGACCGCUGAAGCUAAAUUUAGAAUUGAAUAUUAUUUUAGGUGAAACCUUCAUCUCUUUGCCCAGAAUUGUGAGCGUUCUCAUCCUCACGUGAUGUGCCAAACACCUCUUCCUCCUCUCUUGUGUUGCUGAAUCCCAUCACCGACAAAGCUAAUAUAGGGUUGGUGAGGUCAAGGAAGGUGGUGAAAAUUGGGAAUUUUUGGAAGAAGAAAAGAAGAAGGGAAAGUAUGGAAGGAGAAGGAAGUGUCUUAUGAGGAAGAAGAGGACGAUGAUCUUUUUUUAUAUCUUUUCAUUGUUUUGAGAUCGUUUGUUAUGAGAUAUUUUGGAUAUGAUGACUUGUUGAACUUGAAGAAUGUUAGAUUGGAAUUUGUAUGUGUUGGAAAUUAUUUACGUUUGUUUUGUAUUUGUAUCUUUAUUAACAUUGAAGUUUAUGUGUUGUAUGAAUAUGAGACUUGAGAAAGUUAUUGUGUCGUAUGCAUAUAUCUAUGGUAAUGUAUGAAUUGGAAUUGUGUGCA